CUGGCUCCAGCAGCUGGGUCCCGGCGGGCGGGCACUGUGCAGCUCCGCUGUGCUGCUCCGUUCGGGCCGGGCCUAUCCAACUGGGCCUGGCCUAUGAGCUCCGCUCUCAGCGUGAAGCGCUCUAGGAGCUUCCACUACUGAAAGCUGAAGUGAAUUUAGACCACGAGUUGGGUGUGAGGUCAAUAGUGUCGCCGCUUAACCGGACCGCUGUUGCGCAUUUAUUUAUUUAGCAUUUAUUUAGUUGUCAGAGCAGAGGUGAGCUCCACACUGCCAGCUGCCCAGCACCGGGAACGGGGUUGGUGCUGCUCAGGCUCUGUCCUUGUCCUUCCAGAUUUCUUGCUGCUUUCUGCGUGGCCGCUGUUUUCACUGGCCCUGACAGCCACUCUGUGACUCUGCCUUCCAAAAGUCACAUGAAAAUGUCUCUGGCAGGGCUGGUGUCGUGCUGGGUGCGGUUUAAAUAGCGUGAACAAGGACUUUGCGACUGGCAUAGAGAGUGGUGACGUGGAGUGCUACAGGCAGGAGCUACAAACAGAGACUUGGCAAUCAACUUCCUUGACAACUGGGUGUUCUCAGAAGCUGUGAAGGUUGAAGCUAUGGAGGUUGGUAUUUCGAGAAUAGAAAUUUAAAGUCAUGGAAUUAAAGUCUGAGUAAUAUGCCAGUUUUCAUGGAAGUUCACUAAGGAAUGUCUCCCAUGGGAUGGACCCCACACUGGAGCAGGGAAGGAGCGUGAGGAAUUCCCCUGGAGGAGGAAGGAGCAGAGACAACCUGUGGUGAACUGACCACAGCCCCAUCUCCUGUCCCACCUAGCUGCUGGCGGGGAGGAGAAAGAGAAUUUGGGAUUAAAGUUAAGCCCAGAAAAAAGGGUGCAUA